rnacentral:rRNA from 1 species
UACGUAGGGGGCAAGCGUUGUCCGGAUUUAUUGGGCGUAAAGAGCGUGUAGGCGGCUGGGUAGGUCUGCUGUGAAAACUCGAGGCUCAACCUCGAGACGUCGGCGGAAACCCUCCAGCUAGAGUCCGGAAGAGGAGAGUGGAAUUCCUGGUGUAGCGGUGAAAUGCGCAGAUAUCAGGAAGAACACCCGUGGCGAAAGCGGCUCUCUGGGACGGUACUGACGCUGAGACGCGAAAAGCGUGGGGAGCGAACAGG